AUAUCAAUAAGCGGAGGAAAAGAAACCAACUGGGAUUUCCAUAAUAGCGGCGAGCGAAAUGGAAUCAGCCCGAGGUGUGAAUCACGUUGCUUGCAGCGUGAGUUGUACACCAUGGUCAUUGCUAUGUUGUUUCACUACCUAAGAUGUCUGCAAAGACAUGCCACAGAAGGUGAUAGCCCUGUCUUUGGUAGAGAAGUCAACUAUACGGCAAUGGCUGCUAAUGAGUCACGCUCUUUGGGAGUAGAGCGCAAACUGGGUGGUAACCUCCAUCCAUGGCUAAAUAUUGACGAGAGACCGAUAGCGCACAAGUA
rnacentral:rRNA from 1 species